rnacentral:rRNA from 1 species
UACGAAGGGGGCUAGCGUUGCUCGGAAUCACUGGGCGUAAAGCGCACGUAGGCGGCUUUUUAAGUCAGGGGUGAAAUCCUGGAGCUCAACUCCAGAACUGCCUUUGAUACUGAGAAGCGUGGAGUCCGGGAGAGGUGAGUGGAACUGCGAGUGUAGAGGUGAAAUUCGUAGAUAUUCGCAAGAACACCAGUGGCGAAGGCGGCUCACUGGCCCGGUACUGACGCUGAGGCACGAAAGCGUGGGGAGCAAACAGG